CAGUAGCCACGGUAAUACGUAGGUGGCAAGCGUUGUCCGGAAUUAUUGGGCGUAAAGCGCGCGCAGGUGGUUUAAUAAGUCUGAUGUGAAAGCCCACGGCUCAACCGUGGAGGGUCAUUGGAAACUGUUAAACUUGAGUGCAGGAGAGAAAAGUGGAAUUCCUAGUGUAGCGGUGAAAUGCGUAGAGAUUAGGAGGAACACCAGUGGCGAAGGCGGCUUUUUGGCCUGUAACUGACACUGAGGCGCGAAAGCGUGGGGAGCAAACAGGAUUAGAUACCCGAGUAGUCCCUGUCUCUUAUAC
rnacentral:rRNA from 1 species